rnacentral:rRNA from 1 species
AGUGAACGCUGGCGGUAGGCCUAACACAUGCAAGUCGAACGGCAGCACAGUAAGAGCUUGCUCUUACGGGUGGCGAGUGGCGGACGGGUGAGGAAUACAUCGGAAUCUACUUUUUCGGGGGGGAUAACGUAGGGAAACUUACGCUAAUACCGCAUACGACCUACGGGUGAAGGCAGGGGAUCUUCGGACCUGUCGGGAUUGAACGAGCCGAUGACGUAUUUGCUAGUUGGCGGGGUGAAGGCCAACUAAGUCGGCGAUCCGUAGCUGGUCUGAGAGAAUGGUCGCCCGCAUUGGAACUGGAACAGCGUCCAGACUCCUACGAGACGCAGCAGUGUGGAAUAUUAGGCAGUAGUCGCAAGCCUGAUCCAGCCAGACCGCGUGGGUGACGAAGGCCUUCCGGUUGUAAAGCCCUUUUGUUGGGAAAGAAAAGCAGCAGGUUAAUACCCCGCGGUUCUGACGGUACCCAAAGAAUAAGCACCGGCUAACUUCGUG